rnacentral:sRNA from 1 species
CACACAGGAAGGAGAGGUCAGAGUACGAGCACUGCGCAAUAGGAAAACAUCUUCCUUGAGUGG